rnacentral:rRNA from 1 species
CCCUACGGGACGUAGCAGUGAGGAAUAUUGGUCAAUGGGAGAGAUCCUGAACCAGCCAAGCCGCGUGAGGGAAGACGGCCCUAUGGGUUGUAAACCUCUUUUGUCGGAGAACAAAACCCGGGACGUGUCCCGGACUGCGUGUAUCCGAAGAAAAAGCAUCGGCUAACUCCGUGCCAGCAGCCGCGGUAAUACGGAGGAUGCGAGCGUUAUCCGGAUUUAUUGGGUUUAAAGGGUGCGCAGGCGGCGAGUUAAGUCAGCGGUAAAAAUGCGGAGCUCAACUCCGUCGAGCCGUUGAAACUGCCGUU